AAAAAAAAAAAAAAUUAAACCUCAAAGUUGUGCAAACAUUGCUCAGCAAAAGCCAGAACACUGAGGAACAAUCAGUACUACUUUAGGCACAAAUCCAAAGCACAGCACAAUAUGGACUGCUAUGAGAAAAAUGAACUCCAUCCCAGCUGGAUCCAGCACAAUCAUUUACGAGCUACAGUCCACAUUCCAGUAUUCUUGUGCCUGAAACAGCCAGCACCAUCUUCCAUGCAGUGACCAGAGUCAGUGAAAGUAACGUUCUACAAUACAGGAGGGUUUCAAGCCUCAGGAUGUGAUGCAUAGGGACUUCAUAAAAAUUCUGGACCAUCAUGAGACAGUCCAGGUGAUGGUAAGCCCCAUCUGAUAAGGACGACAGUGGCUUACACCAGAGUUUUGUGAAAUCUCAAAAUAGGCAAGAACACAAGGACAGUUGCUGUCACUUGGCUAGAACCUCAUUUUAAGUCUUUCAGCAUUAAAAGGUUUUCCUGAUAUAUAUUUGUGAAGUUCAUAAUGCAAGAAAAGGCACAGAAACUUCGGUAUAGGCCAAUGUCGUUUCAGCUGAAGAAUCCAUUAUUUCAGAGCUCCUGAGCUUCCAAGUGCUGACAAAGACAAGAUAUAGAGAAUAAUACAAAGGUGACAAACAUUCACAUACAAAAAUGAAUAAUGUCCGCACCUGAAAACUAAUACAUCUACUGGAUGAAAUAUGUGUGAGGUAGAAGUACUGGGGACAAAAAGUAGAGAGAGAAUGUGUACAGAUGCAUAUGAUGACGUCAGGCACAAGCUCUACAGGUCACUUUUGUUAUUUAGCAUUGUCUUUUCUUAAAUCUGCUUUGAGACACGCAAAGGAAAACCUGUAGAGAAGUUCUGAAUGGUGCACCUGUUUGCAGGAAGACAGAAAAAGAAUGGUCCAAACAAUGUGACGUUUCAUAGUUUGCUUCUAAAGAAUACAUCUGAUAUUUCCUAAUUCUUAAGUAAGUAUGGCAAAGACCCUUUCCCUAACUUUGAAAAGAGCAUGUGACAUUGUAAAGUCUUCAUUGUUACAGAUAUACACGUAUAUAAUAAAUAUACUUGUAUAUAGUAAA